rnacentral:rRNA from 13 species
GAAGCAAAGAAGAAAGCUAAAGAACAGGCUGCUGAAGAAAAAGCACCAGAAGCUGAAGAAACUGUGGUUCCGGCAGAACCAACGCCCGAACCAACACCUGAGCCAACACCUGAACCUGAAAAAAAAGUU